rnacentral:lncRNA from 1 species
GGCGUGAUCUCUGUCAUCCUCGUGUAGGCAAACCAACCAGGCGAUAAUCUUCAUUAGCUGUUAGCUGUGGCCACUGCCAUGCCACACCUCUUAGCUUCUAUUUCUUUGAGUUUGGUAAUGUUCAAAGUGUCGCUAUCGUGGAAGAGUAUGCUACCUUUUUUCUCAAGUGCUCUAACUUUUGUCGGGGUGAGUGAGUGUGCUCUGACUUUUGUCGGGGUGAGUGAGUUAAGGAAGAGAAUGUCAGCUGGGUUCCACUCUUCGUCGAUCAUAUCGAGGCCUUUCACUUUCUUUGCUUGGAUUCUGGCGCUCCUUUUGAGUGAUCCAGUAAAAAACAUUUUAGAGCACCGUGGGCUAGGGCUAGUGACUAUAGGUGAGGGUGACUAGCUAGAGGGGUGAGUUUUUAGACCAUCUGAGAUGGUCGAAAAUACCCUAGACACUGCAACAGUAAAUUCUGCUUGCAUGCUGGUAGGUACUGAAGGGAGAGAUAGGGUCUUAAUGAUCUUUCGAUCAGAUAGGGUGGC